rfam:Ciona intestinalis ciona0020, whole genome shotgun sequence.
CAUACUUAGGCCUGGCGAAGUGCAUUGCGUUGUCAUGGUCGUAUUGCACUCGUCCCGGUCUAUGUAUC